UUUUAGAAAUAUCUGUCUGGUAGCCAUGUGCAGGUUGGUUGGAAAGGGAGGCAUCAGACAGGAGACGAAUGAGAAAGCUGUUGCAGUCAUCUGGGGGCAGAAGCCUAAGCCUUGCUCAUCCCUUACUUAGGCUACAUUUUCAAAAGUCAGAAAAAACUUUUUCCUGAAGAAGGGGUUUCUGAGACAAGACCCCUAUUUGUGACCAAUUGUAAGAUCAUCUGAAGAUCGAGUCCGAUUGCCUGGCCAGGCCGGGCUGGGUGGUAUGUGCCCCCGUCACGCCGGAGGUUCCUGCUUUAGCGACGCCAAAGAUUGGGUGUGAGGGCAGCCCGCGGUGACAGAGACACGGAUCGGACCGAGAGAAAAAGGCUGUGGGCUUCACUGAGCAGAGUGACGGAGUUAUGAGUACAGAAGUGGGCAUCCAGGAACGUAAGUAUUCAGGCCCUCAGGAGCGGUAACUAAAAUGGGCUUGAAGAGGGUUCUAUUGAAGAGGGUUCAUUGUAUUCAAUCCCACUAUGACCCAAGAUGAGAGAGUUCUUCUCAUUACUUUCUUUUUUCUGACACAGAGUUUUGCUCUUGUCGCCCAGGCUGGAGUGCAAUGGAGGGAUCUUGCAAUUCACAGGACCUCCACAGUGUGCCUUUUGCUGGGUAGGAAAAUGCCAGCCAGCUUGGAAAACAACAUGAGCAUUGGCAUCAGCCAAUUAUCCCACACGUUUUCGGCUAGUCAGUGCUGAAGAGAGCAAGGAUUUCAACCCUUCUUGCUACAUUCAAGACAUAGAAAUCCAGCCAGAAGACAACUCGAGAUAUUUUGUGGAUCUAUGCCUUUCCUUCAGAAAAGCAAAUAUCUACCAUAAAAAAACACUGGUCCAAUAUUCACUUCUAUAAGAAAUGCAGGGGCAAAUAAAUUAUGGAUUUUAUUAUCGCUAAUAGAGUCACUUAACCAUUACUCCUUACUACAUUCUGCUUUUCUAACAAAAUUUCGACUGAAUAUUCUCCCUCAGAGCCUCCAAAAGGAACCAACUGAUGACAACUGAUUUUGGACUUCUGGCCU
rnacentral:lncRNA from 1 species